CCUGCCCUCACCUGUGUAUUUAAGUCUGUGUGCUUCCUUUGUUCUGUCUCAGAUCGUCAUUGUAUCCAUGUCCAGCAUCUUGAUCUUCGUUGCUCAUGUUUCCGGAUUAUUCUUCUCAGUUUCAUUGAUACCCUUCACGGAAGCUUGCACUGUGAUUUCUGUUUGCUCCUUUGGACUUUGCCUGUUAGGAACUGCUUACCUGUUGUGAGUGCCUGCUGCCUGCCAGAAUCUCUACAUGGAGAAGACGCUCCUUUCCAUGCUGGGAGAGAUAAUUGACUUCUGUUCCGUGCAUGCCACAAUCAAGACAGAAGACCACAGCACAUUACGAAAAUGUGCUGUGUACAAAAUAACGUCAAAGUCAGCACACUGCUUGAUUUAUUUAUUUUUGAUUUUUAAUGAUUUAUGCUUCCUAAUGCAUUUGCCAGUUACUAUAUUAAGCGUGGUUGGAAUGUUUGAAUAACAGACUUCUACAUAAAGUUUGGCUUCAAACCUGGACACACACAAUGACCAGAUUUAAUGUGUGUGUUUUUCUUCAAAGGGAGAGAAUUUAUGAAAAUAAUAGCUUUGGAUAUUUGUUGGAACAGUCAAUAUGGGCAACUGAACGCUGAACGGGAACAUUCUUGUACCAACAUGCGUUGAGCAAUAAACUGAAGAAUGUAGAUUCCUUACUCAGGGUUCAAGGAAAAGCUUUCUUGUAUGAUUCAUAAUACAAUUCCUCAUUGAAUUAAAGACACAUCAGCUUUU